rnacentral:rRNA from 1 species
GUGAGGAAUUUUCCGCAAUGGGCGAAAGCCUGACGGAGCAAUGCCGCGUGAAGGAUGAAGGCCUAUGGGUUGUAAACUUCUUUUCUCAGAAAAGAAUUAUGACGGUAUCUGAGGAAUAAGCAUCGGCUAACUCUGUGCCAGCAGCCGCGGUAAGACAGAGGAUGCAAGCGUUAUCCGGAAUGAUUGGGCGUAAAGCGUCUGUAGGUUGUUUAAAAAGUAUUCUGUCAAAGAUUAGGGCUUAACCCUAGAUAGGCAGAAUAAACUUUUAAGCUAGAGUUUGGUAGAGGCAGAGGGAAUUCCCGGUGGAGCGGUGAAAUGCGUAGAUAUCGGGAGGAACACCAAAGGCGAAGGCACUCUGCUGGGCCAAUACUAACACUGAGGCACGAAAGCGUGGGGAGCAAACAGGAUUAGAUACCCCUGUAGUCC